rnacentral:RNase_P_RNA from 1 species
GUGCGAUGGCAGAUGAUCGCUGGUGAGCCGCGAGGCUUGCUGGAGGAAAGUCCGAACACCAUACGGCGACAUGCCGCGUAAAACACGCGGGCGCCGCAGUUGCAAAAUUGCGGUGACGGAAAGUGUCACAGAAAAGACACCGCCGGUUCUUUGGCAACUAUGGGCAACUGUAGGGGAAGCUGUCAGCUUCCCGCGUCCGGGACAGGCAAGGUUGAAAAGGCGAGGUAAGAGCUCACCGCUCGCGGAGCAAUUCGCGAGGCAGGAAAAACCCCAUGCGGUGCAAGACAAAACAGAGGGAGGGCAGCCGGCCCGUUGGCCCUCGGGUAUCGUCGCAUUGCGAUGCUGUAGCGGCGGUCUAUGACCGCCGAAACUUCAUCGGACGCUCGGAGAAAUUCGGGUGAGAUAAAUGAUCAUCGCCCCGAAGAAAUUCGGGACACAGAAUUCGGCUUACCGCCAUCAAAUAUGA